rnacentral:rRNA from 1 species
AUCCCAGCUUGCUGGGGGAUUAGUGGCGAACGGGUGAGUAACACGUGAGUAACCUGCCCUUAACUCUGGGAUAAGCCUGGGAAACUGGGUCUAAUACCGGAUAUGACUCCUCAUCGCAUGGUGGGGGUGGAAAGCUUUAUUGUGGUUUUGGAUGGACUCGCGGCCUAUCAGCUUGUUGGUGAGGUAAUGGCUCACCAAGGCGACGACGGGUAGCCGGCCUGAGAGGGUGACCGGCCACACUGGGACUGAGACACGGCCCAGACUCCUACGGGAGGCAGCAGUGGGGAAUAUUGCACAAUGGGCGAAAGCCUGAUGCAGCGACGCCGCGUGAGGGAUGACGGCCUUCGGG